rnacentral:misc_RNA from 1 species
GAUGAAGAACGUAGCGAAAUGCGAUAAGUAAUGUGAAUUGCAGAAUUCAGUGAAUCAUCGAAUCUUUGAACGCACAUUGCGCCCGCCAGUAUUCUGGCGGGCAUGCCUGUUCGAGCGUCAUUUCAACCAUCAAGCCCCCGGCUUGUGUUGGGGACCUGCGGCUGCCGCAGGCCCUGAAAACCAGUGGCGGGCUCGCUAGUCACUCCGAGCGUAGUAAUACAUCUCGCUCUGGGCGUGCUGCGGGUUCCGGCCGUUAAAAAACCCUUUUAACCCAAGGUUGACCUCGGAUCAGGUAGGAAUACCCGCUGAACUUAAGCAUAUCAAUAAGCGGAGGA